GUUCUAAGACAGGAGAGAGCCAGAAAGGGAGGGGGUCAGGAGGAGGAGGUAUUGCCGAGGUUACUGUCGGACAUAAGGAGGCAGACUGGAGAGAGUGGUCGUGUUUCCCCGCAGGAGGUCCGAAGGUUCCUUUCGUGGUUCUAGACCUGUCAGUAGUAAAGUAGACUCCGCCUAUUCAUCAGUAUUCAAAUAGAGGCGCAAGACUUUGCCCGGCUUCCAGCGUGAACAUGUAUUUCUCACGUCAGUUCUUUAUUGUACUUCCAAUUAUUGGGCAAAAAAGAAUGGAGGAAAAGGGACACUCAUGCAGGAUGGGAGAAAAAUGGCGGAGAAAGAAGUCCAAUACGAAUAUUCUGUCACUGGGAUGAUCAGAGGCUGAAAAGGGCCCUUUGAGAUGAAAAACCUUCGGACAUGAUUUUAUACACAUGAUUUUACCAUUCUAGUGGUGCCACAUAUUAUGUUUAAUUUAGCUGCUAAUCAAGUCGUAGCUCUCUAUGUAGAAACUGUUACCACAUAGUCCAAGUAACCAGGGCAAGCAAAUAUAGAGUCCUCAUCUACCUCCUCCAACUACCUGCAUGUAUCAGAUGAGCUCUUGUGCUGAAGAAUAUGGGCAAAGCCUAAUUAUAUUAGUAAUGUCCUCCAUGUUGGCUAGGUUUAAACCCUGUAGACAAUCAAUGUUUGAGAGGCUUGUUGUAUGGCUUCCACUUCUAAGCAGUAAGUUUUGAAUGUCUUGAACUUUGGGCUGAUAUAUCCUCACCAAAAGAAGUAUUGAUACACAUUCAUAGAUUCCAAUUAAGUCAUGAGGGCUUUUAAAUUAUAGUUUAUUGGAGAAUUCAUUUAUUGUGUCCAAAGGUUUCACAUUGUAACUUAGUGCAACCUCCCCUCUAAUUUAAUUCAGUCUGGAAGCAACAGGACAGGCUGUUUGUUCAGUGUUUUCGAAAGCCUAACCUGGAGGUAAGAAAAUCCCACUCUGUUGCAGGAGAAGUAAGGUGUUUGUCUCCUGAAAACCUGAGUUCUCCUAGAGGAAGAGCACUAGGAAGCUACAGCCCAAUCUGUGGGAAAUUGUCUUCCCUGAAUUUUCUAAGGGCUCUCAAAAGGAAGGGACCAUACAAGUAGGGGUAAGAGUCCGAUUCCAAAAGCAUUAAACCUGAGAAGGUUUACCUUGCUGCCUCCCAGCUAUACUUGGGUGUCCUUGAGAAGAUCCAUGGAAGCAGAAGGGGAGACUCCCUUGUCUGAAAGAGUAGUAGUAGUAGUAGUAGUAGUAGUAGUAGUAGUAUAGGCCUGUUAGAUGGGUGGAAAAGCCAGCGUGUUGAUUCCCUCAUUCUGAAGUUCUAAUACACAACAUCAGAUCAGGCCGUUGUCUUGUUGACUUCAACUGAGCUCCCUGCUUUGAGAAAUGAGUCAAGCAAGACAGCUUGUACACUACCCACAAACCACCUCUGCUGCAUUUACCGUGUAGUUGUGACAAUGAUGGUGACUUCUUUUCUCUUGUCCAAACUCCUUGUUGGGUGCUCCUUGAAGGGGAUGUUUUAAAUGUCAGACCUCACUGCCACUGCUGAUUGGGCACAACAUUUCUGAGACAGCACCAAUAGUUCAAUGUGACAUGGUGAUUUUCAGGCCUAAAACAGGGUUUGAACUACCCCAGUCAAGGUAGUUUUAGCAGCCAUAUACUUAUAUCCUUCUCUAAUCUGUUGUGAUAGGUGAAAGCAAUCUGAUUCCUAUCAUGCCUCUUGUCUCUGCUGGCUGAUUCCUAUCUUGCCUCUGUUCUCAAUAAUUUAGCCAUCACAUUUUUCACCAUGUUAAAGGAAUAGUAAAGCCCAACAUGAUUUCUCUGUUC